rnacentral:misc_RNA from 1 species
UCUCCGUUGGUGAACCAGCGGAGGGAUCAUUACUGGAAUCGCAAGAUCCCACAACCCCUGUGAACCUACCGAAACGUUGCCUCGGCGGGGUCACGCCCCGGGUGCGUCGCAGCCCCGGAACCAGGCGCCCGCCGGAGGAACCAACCAAACUCUUUCUGUAGUCCCCUCGCGGACGUUAUUUCUUACAGCUCUGAGCAAAAAUUCAAAAUGAAUCAAAACUUUCAACAACGGAUCUCUUGGUUCUG